CAAGACAAGUCAGAUUCCCUCCACUCUUCACGGAGAACACAAGACACCGGUUCUCAUUUUUAACGUGAAUCUUAAUUUCAGUAUUGCUUGAAGUCGUCUGUUGUUUUACAGUAAUGAUUAUUUGAUCAUGAGAUUCAUGUGAGACUUCAAGUUGAUCAUAUCUACUUUCGUAAUUACUGAUGGGCUGGACAUGGGAUUCUUUGCUACGUCCAAGGAAACUGCCGAUCAAGAUGGUAUCAAUUUGAUGACUGUUGAAUGCAUUAUUGAACAUGGAUGGAUUAUUAAACUGACUGAACCAGCACAAGGCAUUCUCUGAGGAUUCGAGGUAUCCGAAGGAUAGGGGGAUUGGUAGCCAGUGCCUAGGAUACCAAACAUCUGGGCGACAUCGUUGUCUUCCAGGGAAUGUACUAAUUCAAGAUGGUUUUUUUCCCCUUGCUGCGAGUGUUACUUCAUUUUGCUUCAGAUUCACCGAAUCGAUGCUUGAACUUUGAGUAUUUCGUAUUUUUUUUUAUCUCUUAUUAUUUUCGAGUGGUAAUUUAUUAACAAAUCAUUUUUGAUGAAUGACCCAAGUCAAUUUUGAGGAACUUGAACAUUUACUGGUGCAAUUCUGGCAGAUUUCAGGUACACGAAAGUUGUUCUAGUUGUCAUAGUACGCCUUCUUGUCUUUAACACCUUUGACAUAUAAAAUAUAGUUAACGAAAUAUUUUCGAUGACCGAUCCACAUCUAUUCAGUGAUGGCUAGUUCGUACUUGGUUUGAGGCUCGGGGCUUACAGUAUAUUAAUUUCAGGGCGCCGUGACGUAUGUCCUUCCUGGGACUGCCAACUGAAAAGGACUGGCGUGACCGGGUUACAUCUAACGCUGAAGAAAAAAAUUAAAAUAUUUCCGUAUCGUUAAUUCUUGUUCAAGCUUUCGAGACCUGAGAUUUCGUUUGAAUUAACGACUCCAAAGGCUGCAUCAAGAUUUAACAACGUUCAUAUCGACGACGAUUUGAAU